rnacentral:rRNA from 1 species
GAUGAACGCUGGCGGCGUGCCUAAUACAUGCAAGUCGAACGCUGGAAAUCUAGCUUGCUAGAUUGAAGGAGUGGCGAACGGGUGAGUAAUACAUAAGCAACCUACCCACGAAGACUGGGAUAAUCUCUGGAAACGGGGACUAAUACCGGAUAGGUAAUCGGAAGGCAUCUUCUGAUUAUUAAAGGUUAAAAACACUGGUGGAUGGGCUUAUGGCGCAUUAGUUGGUUGGUGAGGUAACGGCCCACCAGGACGAGGAUGCGUAGACGGACGGAGAGGGCGAACGGUGAGAUGGGAGCUGGGACAGCGACCAUGGUACUACGACACGCAGCAGAAGGGAACUGUCGGCAAUAGGGGAAAAUCUGGCCGAACGGCGCAGAGUGUGUGAUGACGGCGUUCGGGUAGUAAAGAUCGGUUGUAAGUGAAGAAGGGUAGAUAGACAAUAUCUUAAUGACGGUACCGUACGAAAAAGCCACGGCUAACUACGUG